rnacentral:hammerhead_ribozyme from 1 species
AUCUAACUGAAGAGUUCGAAAUAGGACGAAAUAUGUAUCGUGGAU